UACGAAGGGGGCUAGCGUUGUUCGGAAUCACUGGGCGUAAAGCGCACGUAGGCGGAUCUUUUAAGUCAGAGGUGAAAUCCCAAGGCUCAACCUUGGAACUGCCUUUGAUACUGGGGAUCUUGAGUCCGGGAGAGGUGAGUGGAACUGCGAGUGUAGAGGUGAAAUUCGUAGAUAUUCGCAAGAACACCAGUGGCGAAGGCGGCCCGCUGGGCAGUGGCUGACGCUGAGGCGCGACAGCGUGGGGAGCAAACAGG
rnacentral:rRNA from 1 species